GUGAAUCAUCGAAUCUUUGAACGCAAAUUGCACUCCCUGGUAUUCCGGGGAGUAUGCCUAUUUGAGGGUCGUUAGAAUAAAAAUUCGAGGCGUCGCUCUUUUUUUUAAGGGUGAUCGCGUCCGAAUUGAGCCGUCUUUCAAAUGUUAAUUCAUGUUAAAGUUGCUUAAAAUCCAUACAUCCGCUACGAUUAAAGCGUAUUAAAGAUCAACUUUGGUUAAGAACUCGCUAUGACGUACCAUCUCAUGUAGCACGUU
rnacentral:misc_RNA from 1 species